rnacentral:rRNA from 1 species
CCUACGGGAGGCAGCAGUGGGGAAUAUUGCACAAUGGGGGAAACCCUGAUGCAGCGACGCCGCGUGAAUGAAGAAGUAAUUCGUUAUGUAAAGCUCUAUCAGCAGGGAAGAAAAUGACGGUGCCUCAGUAAGAAGCCCCGGCUAACUACGUGCCAGCAGCCGCCGUGAUACGUAGGGGGCAAGCGUUAUCCGGCUUUACUGGGUGUAAAGGGGGCGUAGACGGCAGUGCAAGUCUGAUGUGAAAACUAUGGGCUCAACCCAUAGCCUGCAUUUGAAACUGUUUUUCUUGAGUGCUGGAGAGGCAAUCGGAAUUCCGAGUGUAGCGGUGAAAUGCGUAGAUAUACGGAGGAACACCAGUGGCGAAGGCGGAUUGCUGGACAGUAACUGACGCUGAGGCGCGAAAGCGUGGGGAGCAAACAGGAUUAGAUACCCUAGUAGUC